rnacentral:rRNA from 1 species
AAAGCCUGAUGCAGCCAUGCCGCGUGUAUGAAGAAGGCCUUCGGGUUGUAAAGUACUUUCAGUAGGGAGGAAGGUGCUGUAGUUAAUAGCUGCAGCAUUUGACGUUACCUACAGAAGAAGCACCGGCUAACUCCGUGCCAGCAGCCGCGGUAAUACGGAGGGUGCGAGCGUUAAUCGGAAUUACUGGGCGUAAAGCGCAUGCAGGUGGUUCAUUAAGUCAGAUGUGAAAGCCCGGGGCUCAACCUCGGAACCGCAUUUGAAACUGGUGAACUAGAGUGCUGUAGAGGGGGGUAGAAUUUCAGGUGUAGCGGUGAAAUGCGUAGAGAUCUGAAGGAAUACCAGUGGCGAAGGCGGCCCCCUGGACAGACACUGACACUCAGAUGCGAAAGCGUGGGGAGCAAACAGGAUUAGAUACCCUGGUAGUCCACGCCGUAAACGAUGUCUACUUGGAGGUUGUUCCCUUGAGGAGUGGCUUUCGGAGCUAACGCGUUAAGUAGACCGCCUGGGGAGUACGGUCGCAAGAUUAAAACUCAAAUGAAUUGACGGGGGCCCGCACAAGCGGUGGAGCAUGUGGUUUAAUUCGAUGCAACGCGAAGAACCUUACCUACUCUUGACAUCCAGAGAAUUCGCUAGAGAUAGCUUAGUGCCUUCGGGAGCUCUGAGACAGGUGCUGCAUGGCUGUCGUCAGCUCGUGUUGUGAAAUGUUGGGUUAAGUCCCGCAACGAGCGCAACCCUUAUCCUUGUUUGCCAGCACGUAAUGGUGGGAACUCCAGGGAGACUGCCGGUGAUAAACCGGAGGAAGGUGGGGACGACGUCAAGUCAUCAUGGCCCUUACGAGUAGGGCUACACACGUGCUACAAUGGCGCAUACAGAGGGCUGCAAGCUAGCGAUAGUGAGCGAAUCCCAAAAAGUGCGUCGUAGUCCGGAUUGGAGUCUGCAACUCGACUCCAUGAAGUCGGAAUCGCUAGUAAUCGUAGAUCAGAAUGCUACGGUGAAUACGUUCCCGGGCCUUGUACACACCGCCCGUCACACCAUGGGAGUGGGCUGCAAAAGAAGUGGGUAGUUUAACCUUCGGGAGGACGCUCAC